rnacentral:ncRNA from 1 species
CUUUCUCUCAGGUUCUGGCACGGCCCCUCGGAUUGGCCAGAACUUUCAAGCCGGCUCUCGAAGCCGGCUUUUUUU